CACCACAAAGACUGUUGCUAGGUGACAAUCCAGUGGCUUUUUGUGAUGUCACUGGAUUGGCUGUUGCUAAGUAAAGGAUUGGCUAAGUCUAGGCAUGAUGUCUGACAUAUAUAUGAGGAGAAGUAAGGAAGUAGGAAAAGAGCCACAAAGCCAGCUUGCCAUGGAGACAUUGUGAGGCUCUCUUGGAGCUGGAGAAGGGGAAAGGGGAGAGAGAGGAAAGGAAGGAAAGUCAGAGAAAAAAGAAGGGAAAGAAGAAGGAAAGGGGGAAAGGAAAAAGGAGGGAAGGAAGGAAGAAAAAGGAAAAGAGAAAAGCAAUGUUGUAACCACCUCAAGACGUGAGGAGAAGCAGUUCACAAUAUAACAGGAGAAAACAUCCUUGUCGUCUCUUCACAAUGUCUUUUCAGUGGUGGAUUACAACUGGCGUUUGACUAAUGAAACAGUAUGCUCCCCAAUCAGCUAUGAAACUCCCUCACUUGACUAACCUAGAUGUUGAAGUUAAGCAGACAACUGUACCAAGGGAACAGGAAGAGGAUCAAGGUCAAUCCUGAUGAGGAGCAAACAAUGGGAAGAGCCAUCCCGGUAUGAAAACCCGCCUGCAACGAAAGAAAGUAGGAAUUGAUCUUAGCUCCUCUUCCCCUAUUUGGCAUUGCAGUUUAAUCUUUUUUUAUUAAUCCCAGCAAACAAAAAGAAAACCCUCAUUCUCUGAAAACUACUACCAUCUAGUUACCUCUCGACUACUAGAAAGUAGAAACAGCACCAAGGAAGCAAUAAAACCAAAGCAGAAAAGAGAUUGAAGCAUGCCAAUAAAAAGAGGGGUGUUUAAGGUAAUCCAGGAAGGAUAGCUCCAGGAGGUCAUUGUUCUUCCUUACCUAGAAGUGGGAAGCCUCCUUAAAAUGCCUUGGAAAGUGUGUGUGGCACCAAGGAGAGAAAGUACCUGAGCCUGCCUGCAGUGCCUCUCCUCCUCUAGAGUAGGAAACAGCUUUAAGAACUUGCCUCCUUUAAAUGCCUUUGAAAGAGUGUGUGGCAUGCAAGCCUGAGAGAUAAAGCGUGCGUGCCUGCCUUCAGUACCUCUCCUCCUCUAUUGUAGGAAACAUUUUAAAUGCCUAAAAUGAUGGGUAGGGGAGCCUGCAAAGUCCCCCCCCCCCCAAUAAUGGGUCGGAUAGAAAACAAAUCUUUCAACUCCCCAGAGCAAAAACAAAUUUCUGCCCUUGCAAAUUCAGAAGUGUGAUGUCUCAGGGACCUUUGGCCCAUGACCCCCCAGCCAUCAUAGAUCAAACUGAAGAGGAUUUGCACUUUUUCCCACCUCAGCAAGUUUCUGUUCCAUUCCAGAUGUCCCCUGUUGACAUUUUCGUGCCAGAGCCAAUUAGAGACGCCCUUGAAACAGAGCCUGGUUCCCCGGAAAGUGUUGUGUUUGAUAUGAAGGCCUUUCUCAAAACACAUCGCUCCCAUAAGCAGUUUCUAAGACGAAGCGUGAGAUUAGCGGAGAGAGACGAUUGUAAUUAAUCCAUUUCCCUUGGGAAGUUUUGGGGAGGCAGACAUGUUGAAACAGCUUCAUUCUCUAGGAAGAUUUGGGGAGUUAAACACCUGUUGGGGGAAGCUCUUGAACUUUCAUAAAAGUUCUGCACUGAGCUUUCCCUAUCUCGGUGUCAACGUGACUAUUCAGAGAAGAACAUCGAUUCUUGUUUCCGAGCUUCUAAGCGGCCCUCCGGUGCGCUUACUCACGAGUAAACCGGGAGUUGCGUUUCCACUCCUGAUCAAGUUUGGACUGCGUUUCAGAUCCACCACGAAUUAUCUUGCCUAGCCUCGAAUCCUUGUCUGGACUUUACUUCAAGAAUCUCCUUGUGAAUCCUUGCUCUUUCCCCACUCAAACUUCCAAAGAGUUUGAGUGUGUUUCGGUUAUUGGAUUGUAGACUUUGGACUCUAAUACUGGACAUAUAACUUCAUUUAUUUGGACUAUUUUUGAUCUUUCCUAAAAGGACAAUUGCUUGACUAUAUACUCUGUAUACUUUUGUUUUAUUCUUUUAUUGCAUUAAUAAAGAUAUUAGAUUGUU